UUAAAUUUUAAAGACUUCAACUUACAGACUUGAAAAAUUUGAAGACUUCAACUUGCAAACUUGAUUGAUUUGAAAACCUUAACU
rfam:Solanum tuberosum cultivar DM 1-3 516 R44 scf00064_64, whole genome shotgun sequence.